AGAACUUCACCAUGUAGUGAUCUGAAAAGCCUGGUUCGACUGACACAGAAAAAGUUUCCAUACAUCGGCUUACAAAAACAAGAUCCAAUAUUGAGGAUGAACCGUCUUGAAUACGAGUAGGUUGCUUAACUACUUGCUGCAGGUUCCUACACAACAUUAAGCCUAGUACACUCUGAACAUGUAUCGGACGUGUGCACUGAUUAUAUCAGCGCGGAUGCGCAUCUGUGAUGCGCAGUUGUACAGCGCGCUGCAUUCAUGUCUUUAUAAGCCACGCUCUCAAUAAACCUUGGUUCUUUCCUGCACUGACCAUGCUACUGUAAGCGUCGUUUCCCUUGGCACGUUACAUGGUGUCAGAAGUUGCUGCGCUGCCUGUCGACGCCUGAGGGGAACCGUUCCCGCGAAGAACGCGUUAUGGACCUGCUGAAGGCACCACAGCCAUUGCGGCUGACGGAUAACUUCACGGAAAACUUGAAGCGUUUCAAGCAGAAAUUAGAGUUAUUUGUGCAGGCAACGGCGGCAAAGGACCAGCCGAAAACGGAAGCAUCGAAGGCAGCCCUCCUGCUGAGCAUGGCGGGUGACGACGCGCUGGACGUCUUCAACAACUUCCAGUUCGCGCUGGAUGAAGACUAGACCGACUACAGUACAGUGUACAUUCCCGGGAAACAGCUGGUUCUCGCUGACAUGUUGUCACGCUCAACGGCUGACCAGGGCAAAGAUCAAGUUGGCACCACUUCUGGUACCACCGACGACGUGGAGAUCCAUGCGGUGCAUUCAGUCCUUGGGCUACAUGGUCACUUCCGAAACGCAGCGGCUGCUGCAGCAAGAAACGUCUCGUGACGUAUACCUACAGGCCGUGAGGAAGAGCUUAACAAGCGGGCAGCGGGUGACCGGGGAACUCAAGCCUUUUGCGAAAGAGCUGUCAGUCGUUAAUGGAAUAGUGUUGAAGGGCUCGAAAGUUGUAAUACCGAAGAGUAUGCGACAAAGCAUCCUGAACAGAAUACAUGCUGGCCACCUCCGGUUGCAAAAGUGCAAAGAGAGGGCCUGAACUCUUGUAUUUUGGCCCGGUCUGAACCGCGAAAUAGCUGCCCUAGUAGAAAGCUGCGCAACCUGCCGAAAGUACGCCUACAGGCAACCACAUGAACCACUUUUAAUGCGGCCAGUUCCAAAAUGUGCUUGGUAUAGGGUCGGCGUAGAUAUCUUUUCUUAUGCUGGAGAUUCCUACGUGGUUGCUUACGACGCCUUUUCGAAUUUCCCUGAGGUUGAGAAACUUGACGACACAACUGCAGCAAGUACGAUCGCAGUCCUUAGCGCCAUGUUCGCCAGGUACGGCGUACCUGUAGAAGUUUGCACGGAUAACGGACCCCAGUUUUCAAGCCAUGAAUUUGCCAGAUUUACCAAAACAUACGAUUUCAAGCAUGUAACCUCCAGCCCCCGUUAUCCGCAGUCAAACGGCUUGGCUGAGAAAGGUGUCCAAAUCGUAAAGCGCAUCCUGAAAAAGACUCGAGAGGCGAGGGAGGACUUCUGGCUGGGUUUACUAGCCUAUCGCUCAACACCACUGGAAGAUGGGCAUUCUCCGGGUGAGCUCCUGCAAAGAAGGCGACUUCGUUCUAACCUUCCUGACUUCGGUAGGGUGUCCCGGACCCCUGUGAGGAAGCGCCACCAAGCCAAGGCCGGGAGGCCUUUUCCAAUACUGCACAGAGGCACGAAAGUGAGGCUUCAGGAUGCGACUACGUGGUCCCCAAAAGCGAAGGUCGUUGGUGAAACUGCUCCACGUUCCUAUUUGGUACGAACGCAAGAUCGACGUGUUCUGCGGCGCAACCGCCGACAUCUACUUGGGACGGGUGAACUGUAUAACAGCGAAAGUGAUGACGACUGCGAGGAGAUUCCACCAUGUGAAAGCUCUGGUGCGCCGGCGCCUGCAGCACCAACUGAACCAACAGCGCAAGCCACCGAGACGUCAUCUCUACAAACAGCCGUAGGAUCAGUGCUACCAGCAAGUGACGGCGAUCCUUCGCCUGGCAUCCAGCCGACGCAUGCUACGAGAAGGUCGACUCGUGUCGUCCGGCCUCCCCAGAAGCUUCAUUAUGAUGAACAUUUUCAGCAAGUGUCAUAAGUUUUGGCAAAUGUGUAUAUGUAUCUAAAUCUGUUUUGUUUGUUGCCCGAGGGAGGAUGUAUCGGACGUGUGUACUGAUUAUAUCAGCGCGGAUGCGCAUCUGUGAUGCGCAGUUGUACAGCGCGCUGCAUUCAUGUCUUUAUAAGCCACGCUCUCAAUAAACCUUGGUUCUUUCCUGCACUGAC